rnacentral:tRNA from 1 species
CGGGGCGUAGCGCAACCUGGUAGCGCACUUCAUUUGGGUUGAAGGAGUUGCAGGUUCAAAUCCUGUCGCCCCGA